UUUUUUUAGUUUUUUUUU
rnacentral:sRNA from 1 species